rnacentral:lncRNA from 1 species
GUGUUAAUUAAGCAAAAUAAGUCAAGCAAGUCAAGACUUCCAAGCAUUUGGUUUCAGAAAGUGUACUUUGGCUACUAUGUGGAAGCAGAAUUGAAGGAGAGGGAAACUGGAGAACGGAUGAACAGUGUCUCUUGGAAAAUUGAGCUGUAAUAAGGAUCCAGCCAAGAGGAGGGUGGAGUGAAGAAUUCUGUGGCUCUGUAAUACCUGGGGCGUUUGUCCCACUCAGCACAUCUCAGUGUCUAAAUACCCACCCUCAAGAAGUGGGACUGCAGCAGGAAGUGAAGUAUCUUUGCAUAUGUUCAAUAUAUAAACUAAACUCGAACAUCUGGCAAACACCCCUUUCCUGGGUGAAUUCUGGAAAACAGCACAAUUAUAAUCCCAAGCAAAUAACUCAGGAGUAAGACUGUUCCCUUGUUAAGAACACCAGGCAGCAUCAGUAAAAGUUAAAACUUCUUCUGCAUCUAUGCGCUUUUAAUCUCCACGGCCAUUUCCAUAAUACCUGAGAUUACCUGCGUUGAUAGCUGGUGAGAAAUCAUCCCAGGCACCGCAGGUGGAGAAAAGAGAUGAAAGCUACCUCAAGGCGUACACGUAAACCUUACUGAACAAUGACCUUGAUCGUUAGAAAGUCAAGAAAAUGUACUGCCUUGCAAGCUGCCGGUGUUCUAUUGAGUUUCUCUCCGGGGGCAACUCGGAGAUGCCUUUUUGGCACCAUCGGUUCUAGUAUUUCCUCUGGCCUGCUGCGCCGCGCCUCAUCCAGGCUUGUAGUGAGGCACCCCCACUCGCCCGGAGACCCGGGCCGGCCAGGAGGUGCCAGUGGGCAGGUGUGGCAGCCUGCCUGUUGAUUACAGUCCCUACAA